GGUGCUGUGCUGUCAUCUAGUUGUUGGUUGCAGGGUCUCCAUUGCCUUAAAGCUAAGCUUCGUCCAUGGUUCAACUUCAACCAACCACCUUGGCUUUCAAGCCUUCUCCAAUAGCUAUGUUGGUGAGCUUCUUGGGCUUCCUUCCUUUCCUUUUCAAACUUCCAACAAUUUGCAUGCCUCCAAAAAUGGUCUCUGCUAUGAUAUUUAAUUUCAAUUUUUUUACCGAGACAAUCUUUUUCGAGGUGUUGAAAAGUUUUACAUUAAUUAGAAAUAGGAUAAAUAAGUGUUUAUAAAAGUUAAAAAAUUCCCUACAAAGUAUUUAAGAUUUUAAUUAUUCUCUAGUCAGUCAUUCGAAUCAAAAUGAUUACUAUGGGGUGACAAAACUCUUCGUAUCAAGUACUUAGGUACUCUCCACUGAGUCAAUCUCACUCGAACUAUGAAUGGGAAACCUACCUACACCAAGGAUUUAUAUAUUCUCCACGAGUCAAUCUUGUUUGAACCAGAUAUGAUCAUGAAAAAACUCUCCUGACCAAAUAUUUAACAAACUAUUUUUAUUUUUCACCAUGUUUUUUGGUUGUUCAUAUAUCAUAUUAGAGGUUUGAAUACUAGUGGGUAAGAUGUGCAAAACCAGCUUAAAAUUGAUAGCUUGACUGAUGUGAAAGAAUGGUUUAUUGGUAUCAAUUUCUUUGAUGUUUGGUUAGUGAAAAGAACAAGUUAUUUGAGGGAUUUAAGCUAUAACCAAACGAAAAGAAUUAAAGAGGUCAACAAGGUAAUAUAAAAUCAAACGAGCAAGGGCACUUUGUAUGGUCAUAAAGACUUGUUUUCAGAGAUUUAUCAAUCAUUAAUGUACUCAUACGGUCAAACUCUUUUCCUUGAUAUGGGGUGAAUGAAAUUCAUAUUUAUCUCACGACUCACGUCAAUGUACAAUUGUCUUUGUACACAAGAAUAUUGAGUAUUGACUCCUAUAGACCGGUAGAUUCAACUUAUUUAGAACUCUUAUUUCAAAAAAAAAAACAAAAAAAAACUUAUUUACAACUCUAAUAACAUUUGUUUGAUAAUUGUGUUCUUUUAAACAAUUAGUCGAGGAAUCUACUCACUUAUUAUGAUCUUAAAAUCUCAAAAAAAUUAAUUUUAUAACUGCCGACUGUGAGAUAUAUCUAUCAGUAUAUACAAUAAUCUCUUUAUCUCUUAUUUACCAACACAUGUUAAUUAGCUCAAUAAAGAUAAAACAUUUUCCUUUAGAAAGUUGAGUGUUCAGUUGACGCGUGAGUCAAAUCCACCCAAAUUUUACUCAUUAAAUAAAUAAACUCAUCUCUCAUUUGGACCGUUAUUAUUUAUUUAUUAUUAUGUAAUUUAGCUCAGUUAAUAAGAAUAUCCCAGACAAAUUUAGUGCAAUUUUACAGCUGUGUGUAGAAACCUUUUUUAAUUCAUGCACCAAAUUAAUCAAAAAUGAAAAAGAAUUAAAAAAAUACAAUUGUCAUGAAAUGAAUGUGUUGCUUUCAGAGACUACGUUGUGUUGAAGUAAGAAAAAAAAACGUGUGAUGAGCAAUCUUGGGACGUAAGUACUUAAAAACUAAGCUAGCUACCAUGAAAUUGAAAUCGUUAGGUACGUAAGUUGCAGCUUCUACAUCUUGCGAUAAUGUAGUCACUCCAACUUUGAGAUGAGAUCUAGCAGUAUAUAUCAUAUAUAUCAGAGAGAGCUUCCUUAUAAAACUGGUAUGUAUAUAUGUGAGUGAGUUCCAAUAAUUUUACUUGCCAUAUCAUCAUGAUUUCUAUCUUUCAUUCUUCUCGAUCACACAUUUAAUUUGUUCUAUAGUUAAGCAGAUUUUGCAAAUUCCUCAGAGAGGACCCAAAUCAGUACAAUAUGCAGCAGCGUAACUCAAUAUCUGAUCCAUGUAACCUGCUUUCAAAAACUUCCGUGCAGCUUUCAUGUGCACAAAAUAGUCAAGUUUAUCUAUGUUAGUUCUGUUAAUAAAGUUUAGAAAAUUAGCUAAACAAGAGAUUAAAUGAUUAAAUGGGCCUUAUACUUUUUUAAUUUUUAUAUAUUUUUUCAAUAAAAAAAUUCAAGGAUUUCCCCAACACAAAUUGUCAAAAAACUCAAUAGCGUUUAGAAGGCUCAAAUGUUUCACAACUAAGUAGAACAUCAUGUUGGUCAUCCUGGGACGAUGAAAGCGAGAUUCAUUUUGUCCAAAGAGAUGGUCGAGUGAUACAAUGCCGGCAUAUUUAUGAAACAAUGGCAAGACUGUUUUACUUAAGGUCAUUUCUAUUGUUGAAAAUCAUAAAUAAAACGUUGUCUAAAUGACCCUGGACAAAAAUUGAGUUAAACCAUCCUCAGUAAGGUGUUCCAAUAGUAUGGUAAUAUGUGUUUUUAUAAAUUUCAACUCAUUUAGUUAUUCUUUUUAUUUUAUAUUUUCUUAAUAUUCAUUUUAUUAAAAUAAUCUAUUUACACAAUGUAUUUCUCAACCUUGUACCAAACGCCUCCAAUGAAUCAAACAAUUUAGAUAAUAACGCACAAAUCCUUUUCCAAAUAAAAACUAAGAACCCUAAACCCCACGCUUUCUUUAUUUGCUCAUUUUAUUAGUCUACAAUUACCAUGAGAAUAACAGCCUUGCCCAAACUCUUAUAGCUUGCUAGAUGCAUUUUUGUAUGUUAAUAUUGCUAAUUGGUAACCAAAGUAUGCAAUAGGGGGAACCUAAUUAACACCGAAAACACACAUUGAUAGUUUUGGUGUUCUCCUUAUGGCAUGCAUAUCUUAGUUGAAUCAAUUCAAGAGCCAACGAAGAAGAAGACCCAGAAAGCGUGGAAGAAACUUGGAAUUAGAGUUCUUUUGACGGAAAUGUAAUCCAUUCAAUUAGAAAAUGUGCGAAAGAAUAUCCGACUUAGUACAAGUGUGGAAACUGGAAGGGAAAACAUAAGAAGACCAACAACAUCCUCAUUUUGUACAGAGAAUUUGGCCAAAUAAUGAGCCAAUGUAUUUGCUUCCUUAGCCACAUAUGCUUAAAAGAGAUGAAUUUGAAAGAAGUUGCAAGGCUCUUGAUGUCUGCUACAAUAAGCCCCAGGUAGGAAUUGCGGACUGAGUUGUCUUGAAUAGCAUUAAUCACCACGGUAUAUACAAUCCGACUCCACCCACAAAAUUGAAAUGAACACAUUGAUCUAUCUUAAGACAAAAGAAAGACGAACCUAAAGAAAUGACCUCUCGGCCCAGUUUUCUAUCCACAUGCCAACGUGCCAAUUUUUUAAAAUUCAACACAAAGAUAGGGCCCAUUAAAAAAAAGUGUUGCCGCCUCACAUAUGAGAGUUACGGAUCCUCACAGUAUGAAAAUGUCAUCUGAGACCCUCCGCUCGACCUCGUUCCUGUGCUAACAGAAGCUUUCCUUCUCUUUGUUUCAGAGACACUAAUUAGCUCCCAUUGAUGUCGCUGAAGCCUCGUGCUUCUCCAAUAGCCGCACAAUGCAACUCCGACAGAGUCGAUGAGUUUGCAACAUGGGAGCACUGUUUAAAAUUGAUGAUAUAAUCUGUGUUAAUUUGCUUUUAGUCUUACAGGGGCUUUUGUAAUACCUUUAGGGUUUUUACAUCAUGGUUUCACCUGGAUGUUUCAGCUUUGUA